UCAGAAACCAGAAUAUUAGUAAACAAACAAAUCUACCUGGUAACGAAGCUGUCACUUGCCAGUUAUAAAUUGAAAAGAACUACAUUACCACGUUACCUGUGUAUGGGAAACAGCAGAUGCAGAGGAAGGCGAGGUCGGGGAAGUAGACUGAGUGGACCGACCAACAAAGAUGCAUUAGAGAAACUGUCAAAAGUUCACCCACUUCCUUCACUCAUCCUGCAGUGGCCCAAGAUAAACUCAUCUCUUAUCAAGAAGUGAAGAACAAGGGACAGACUGAUGACAGAGGCUACAUCACCACCACCACCACCACCAGAUGACUCAGGCUACAUCACCACCACCACCAGAUGACUCAGGCUACAUCACCACCAACACCAGAUG